UAACGCGUAGGUAACCUGCCUGGUAGCGGGGGAUAACUAUUGGAAACGAUAGCUAAUACCGCAUAAGAGUAGAUGUUGCAUGACAUUUACUUUAAAAGGUGCAAUUGCAUCACUACCAGAUGGACCUGCGUUGUAUUAGCUAGUUGGUGGGGUAACGGCUUACCAAGGCGACGAUACAUAGCCGACCUGAGAGGGUGAUCGGCCACACUGGGACUGAGACACGGCCCAG
rnacentral:rRNA from 1 species